rnacentral:piRNA from 1 species
UAAGCUUUCACGAGGUCUAUAACGCUGAA